rnacentral:misc_RNA from 1 species
GGAAGACCAGAUCCUGAAGAGGGUGCAAUGUCUUUGAAAUUUGAUGAUCGGACGUCAUUGAAUGAAAAUCCUUUGCAGUCAUGUCCCAUGGACAACUCUGGCACUCGUAAGAAUUGUCAGGUUCCUGAUGGAAAUGUACAUCAAGGUUGGGAAUUUCCAAUUAGCGCGGCUAAGGCUUUUCUUGCUCAGAGAUGGAAGGAGGCUAUGGCUGGAGAUCAUCAUGUUAGUGCGUUGUCCUGACACUAAGUUCUCAGAGCGCCCAGAAGAGCCAAGUAGCAGUUCAGUAACAGCCCCAGCAUCAGAUUCUGGGGAAGAUUCCGCUGUUUCCAGCGUUGACGAUCUGCUGCCAAAAGAUGGAGUUGUUCAGUCAUCUUCCAGUAGAACAAAUAAAGUCAAGUUUAGGCCAGAGGCUGAAAAGGGUAUUAAGAUAAAGUACAUUCUCAAGCCAAAAACCCAUCAUUUAGGAAGUGAAAGGUAAC